UACGUAGGGUGCGAGCGUUAAUCGGAAUUACUGGGCGUAAAGCGUGCGCAGGCGGCUUUGUAAGCCAGAUGUGAAAGCCCCGGGCUUAACCUGGGAAUGGCAUUUGGGACUGCAAGGCUGGAGUGUGGCAGAGGAGACUGGAAUUCCUGGUGUAGCAGUGAAAUGCGUAGAUAUCAGGAGGAAUACCGAUGGCGAAGGCAGGUCUCUGGGCUGACACUGACGCUCAUGCACGAAAGCGUGGGGAGCAAACAGG
rnacentral:rRNA from 1 species